rnacentral:rRNA from 1 species
AUUGAACGCUGGCGGAAUGCUUUACACAUGCAAGUCGAGUGGCAGCACGGGGGCAACCCUGGUGGCGAGCGGCGAACGGGUGAGUAAUACCUCGGAACAUGCCCAGUCGUGGGGGAUAACACUUCGAAAGAAGUGCUAAUACCGCAUACGUCCUGAGGGAGAAAGCGGGGGAUCUUCGGACCUCGCGCGAUUGGAGUGGCCGAUGUUAGAUUAGCUAGUUGGUGGGGUAAAGGCCUACCAAGGCAACGAUCUGUAGCUGGUCUAAGAGGAUGAUCAGCCACACUGGGACUGAGACACGGCCCAGACGCCUACGGGAGGCAGCAGUGGGGAAUUUUGGACAAUGGGUGCAACCCUGAUCCAGCCAUUCCGCGUGAGUGAAGAAGGCCUUCGGGUUGUAAAGCUCUUUCGGCAGGAACGAAACGGCGAGCUCUAACAUAGCUUGCUAAUGACGGUACCUGAAGAAGAAGCACCGGCUAACUACGUGCCAGCCGCCGCAGUAAAAC